rnacentral:rRNA from 1 species
UCGCUCCUACCGAUUGAGUGAUCCGGUGAACCUUUUGGACUGCGUGUGGCAACACAUGUGGAAAAUCAAGUGAACCUUAUCACUUAGAGGAAGGUG